rnacentral:rRNA from 1 species
GAUGAACGCUGGCGGCGUGCCUAAUACAUGCAAGUCGAGCGAACAGAUGAGGAGCUUGCUCCUCUGACGUUAGCGGCGGACGGGUGAGUAACACGUGGAUAACCUACCUAUAAGACUGGGAUAACUUCGGGAAACCGGAGCUAAUACCGGAUAAUAUAUUGAACCGCAUGGUUCAAUAGUGAAAGACGGUUUUGCUGUCACUUAUAGAUGGAUCCGCGCCGCAUUAGCUAGUUGGUAAGGUAACGGCUUACCAAGGCAACGAUGCGUAGCCGACCUGAGAGGGUGAUCGGCCACACUGGGACUGAGACACGGUCCAGACCCUACGGGAGGCAGCAGUAGGGAAUCUUCCGCAAUGGGCGAAAGCCUGACGGAGCAACGCCGCGUGAGUGAUGAAGGUCUUCGGAUCGUAAAACUCUGUUAUUAGGGAAGAACAAAUGUGUAAGUAACUAUGCACGUCUUGACGGUACCUAAUCAGAAAGCCACGGCUAACUACGUG